GUAACUUAAUUCAGCGGGUAUUCCUACAGGAUCCGAGGCGGACUUCCAAAUCCCA
rnacentral:rRNA from 1 species